GAGUUUGAUCGUGGCUCAGGAUGAACGCUGGCGGCGUGCCUAAUACAUGCAAGUCGAACGCUUCACUUCGGUGAAGAGUGGCGAACGGGUGAGUAAUACAUAAGUAACCUGGCAUCUACAGGGGGAUAACUGAUGGAAACGUCAGCUAAGACCGCAUAGGUGUAGAGAUCGCAUGAACUCUAUAUGAAAAGUGCUACGGGACUGGUAGAUGAUGGACUUAUGGUGCAUUAGCUGGUUGGUGGGGGUAACGGCCUACCAAGGCGACGAUGCGUAGCCGACCUGAGAGGGUGACCGGCCACACUGGGACUGAGACACGGCCCAGACUCCUACGGGAGGCAGCAGUAGGGAAUUUUCGGCAAUGGGGGAAACCCUGACCGAGCAACGCCGCGUGAAGGAAGAAGUAAUUCGUUAUGUAAACUUCUGUCAUAGAGGAAGAACGGUGGAUA
rnacentral:rRNA from 1 species